UACGGGGGGGGCAAGCGUUGUUCGGAAUUACUGGGCGUAAAGGGCUCGUAGGCGGCCAACUAAGUCGGACGUGAAAUCCCCAGGCUCAACCUGGGAACUGCGUCCGAUACUGGAUGGCUUGAAUUCGGGAGAGGGAUGCAGAAUUCCAGGUGUAGUGGUGAAAUGCGUAGAGAUCGGGAGGAACACCCGUAGCGAAGGCGGCCGACUGGACCACACCUGACGCUGAGGCGCGAAGGCCAGGGGAGCGAACGGG
rnacentral:rRNA from 1 species